CCGGCGAGGCUAACCAACAGGAGUUGGGUACCCGAAGCGAAAGCGAGUCCGAAUAGGGCGAAUUAGUCGGUGGGGGCAGACGCGAAACCUUGUGAUCUACCCAUGACCAGGUUGAAGUUGCGGUAACACGCCAUGGAGGACCGAACCAGUAAACGUUGAAAAGUUUUUUGGAUGAGUUGUGGGUAGGGGUGAAAAGGCCAAUCAAACUGGGAAAUAGCUCGUACUCCCCGAAAUGCAUUUAGGUGCAGCCUGCUUGGAGUGCUGCGGAGGUAGAGCUACCGAUUGGGCUAGAGGGCUUCACCGCCUAUCAACCCCAGACGAACUCCGAAUGCCGUAGUAUGCUCAAGUGGAGUGAGGGCGUGGGUGCUAAGGUCCACGCCCGAGAGGGAAAGAACCCGGACCAUCAGCUAAGGUCCCCAAAUGCGCGCUAAGUUGGCCAAACGGGGUGGGACUGCCCAGACAGCUAGGAUGUUGGCUUGGAAGCAGCCAUUCAUUUAAAGAGUGCGUAACAGCUCACUAGUCGAGCGGUCCCGCAUGGAUAAUAAACGGG
rnacentral:rRNA from 1 species